rnacentral:rRNA from 1 species
GUCUUUGGUCAUAUAACCCUGAAUGUGCCUGAUCUCAUCUGAUCUUGGGAGCUAAGCAGGGUUGUACCUGGCUAGUACUUGGACAGGAGCAUUAUGGAUUUAAAUAUU